rnacentral:lncRNA from 1 species
AGCUGCUUCCAACCUGACGGCAGAUGCUGCUGGCACUUGGUCCCCUUCACCCGCGGCUAGCGAGGGUGCAUGCGCAGUUGCAUUAGACAGUUUUCGACAUACCUUCUCAGAUGGAGUCUUACUCUGUCACCCAGGCUGGAGUCCAGUGGCAUGACCUCAGCUCAUUGCAACCUCUGCCCCACCCGGGUUCAAGCGAUUCUCCUGCCUCAGCCUCCUGAGUAGCUGGGAUUACAGGAGAGACAGAACAGCUGAGGAAACAGCAGAACGGUGGAAAAUUUUUGAAAGUGUUUUGAGCCCACCCAACCUGAGGAGAGCAUUCAAAGAAAAACAGGAAGAAGAGACCAGCUCAUAUAUCAACUUCUCCAUGUAUCCAUCAAUGAUGCUGCAAGCCAAAAGUAAAUUUCUGCCUCUGAACUUCUGGAAUCUUAAUGUAAUAUUCUCCUGUUCAUCCUACAUUCAAGUUAUUUGGCUUUGGACAGUCCUGAUAAUUGGCUAACGGUGGGAUACACAUAGACUUGUUAUUAACAGCCAAGAUAACUUGAGUCAUUGAGUGACUAAGACAUGUGCCUGUCCUUACAACCAGGACAAGAUGAAGAUGCGAUCCAUGUGAAGAUGAGAAAAUUGGGCUCAAAGAGGACAGGAUUUUCCCAUUAUGGAACAACUAAUAGGAUUCACAGGCCUCUUGAUGUUACAUGUCACAUUCAUAUCACUGGAUGAUAUAUCAGAAGGAUAGUUCUCUGAUCCAAUAUCCAUGUUGGUGUAUGUAAAUGAUGAGCUUUCCUGCACUACAAAAGCAUUUUAUAAUUAAAGAGAAUUUUUCCUCAAUUCAGAAAGGUAACUAUAGAUAAUUAUAUAUAUCAUACCUGAAAGGGUAAAGGAACGUUUACAGAUUACUUUGUGUCUUUUGAAUUUUUAAAAAUGAAGGUUUGCAAACCAAAAAUAAAAUUCUAAGCCCCCGACCAUCUGAGUGGACCCCUCCUUUCAGCAAGGGCAUUCCAAAGCUAACCUGAAAA